rnacentral:rRNA from 1 species
GGCUACGGCCGUGGCGCGUUGACACACCCAAUCCCUCGAUCUCGGAAGUUAAGCAACGUGGAUUCCAGACAGUAGUUGAAUGGGAGACCACCGAGGAAGAUUGGAUAUUGUAGCCG